GUCUUAGGCCUGCAAACUCUGAAUUGGAUAAUACAAUAAUAAUAAUAAUAAAAUACACGUUUUAAAAUUAAAUAUUUGCACACACGAUCACAAUUUAUUUCCCUUCAUAACCCCAAUUUUUGCAUGGCCCUCUUAUAGCAUAUACAUAUAGCUACUAUGGUACAAAGGGAGGCAUAUACAUCAAAGUAUAUAUGACACAUGAAACAUAUUGGUAUAUCAAAUAUUCUGGACAGUUCAGUUGGAUAUGGAACAAUGGGAACUCUUGAUAGUACUUCAUAUACCUGCCAUGCAUUCCGGUGGGGUGACCGG
rnacentral:lncRNA from 1 species